AUUGAACGCUGGCGGCAGGCCUAACACAUGCAAGUCGAACGGUAGCACAGGAGAGCUUGCUCUUCGGGUGACGAGUGGCGGACGGGUGAGUAAUGCAUGGGGAGCUGCCCAAUCGAGGGGGAUACCAGCUGGAAACGGCUGCUAAUACCGCAUACGCCCUGAGGGGGAAAGGUGGGGACCUUCGGGCCUACCGCGAUUGGAUGCACCCAUGUGGGAUUAGCUAGUUGGUGAGGUAACGGCUCACCAAGGCGACGAUCUCUAGCUGGUCUGAGAGGAUGACCAGCCACACUGGAACUGAGACACGGUCCAGACUCCUACGGGAGGCAGCAGUGGGGAAUAUUGGACAAUGGGCGAAAGCCUGAUCCAGCCACGCCGCGUGAGUGAUGAAGGCCUUCGGGUGUAAAGGCUCUGUCGUAGGGGACGAAAGGGGAACCUUUAGACGGUACCUUACAAGGAAGCACCGGCUAACUCCGUGCCAGCAGCCGCGGUAA
rnacentral:rRNA from 1 species